rnacentral:rRNA from 1 species
UACGUAGGUGACCAGCGUUGUCCGGAUUUACUGGGCGUAAAGAGCGCGCAGGCGGUCGUUCAAGUCGAGUGUGAAAGCCCCCGGCUCAACUGGGGAGGGUCAUUCGAUACUGAUCGACUUGAAGGCAGGAGAGGGAAGUGGAAUUCCCGGUGUAGUGGUGAAAUGCGUAGAGAUCGGUAGGAACACCAGUGGCGAAGGCGGUCUCCUGGGGCAUUCUUGACGCUGAGACGCGAAAGCUGGGGGAGCGAACGGG